rfam:Arabis alpina cultivar Pajares Aa.chr3_contig_4115, whole genome shotgun sequence.
AGAUCUGUAAGCUCAAAAUGGUAGAGCGCUCUUCUUCUUAUGAAGCUGAGAGGUUGGUGGUUCAAAUCCACCCAGAUUUG